GACGAACGCUGGCGGCGUGCUUAACACAUGCAAGUCGAACGGAAAGGCCCUGCUUGCUGGGUACUCGAGUGGCGAACGGGUGAGUAACACGUGGGUGAUCUGCCCUGCACUUCGGGAUAAGCCUGGGAAACUGGGUCUAAUACCGGCUAGGAGCCAUUUUUAGCGUGAUGGUUGGAAAGUUUUUUCGGUGUAGGAUGAGCUCGCGGCCUAUCAGCUUGUUGGUGGGGUAAUGGCCUACCAAGGCGGCGACGGGUAGCCGGACUGAGAGGGUGGACGGCCACAUUGGGACUGAGAUACGGCCCAGACUCCUACGGGAGGCAGCAGUGGGGAAUAUUGCACAAUGGGCGCAAGCCUGAUGCAGCGACGCCGCGUGGGGGAUGACGGCCUUCAGGUUGGAAACUCCUUUCGCUAGGGACGAAGCUUUUUGUGACGGUACCUAGAUAAGAAGCACCGGCUAACUACGUG
rnacentral:rRNA from 1 species